UGUCAACCGAUUAAUCUGAAAUUUUGUAUACACUUUGGAUUUUGGUGACAAUACAAAUAUGUUUAUUCAUUAUCAUUAUAAAUUCAAGAUGGCCGCCGCUACAAAAUGGCGGAUAAUUUAUGUUUUAUCAAUCCCAUCAAUAUGGGUAUCAAAUGAAAGGGCUCAACAAGCAGAAUACAAUAUACUAUAAAAAAUUGAAAUACAAGAUGGCGGCCGCUACAAAAUGGCGGAUAACGUAGGUUUUAUCAAUCCCAUCAAUAUGGGUAUCAAAUGAAAGGGCUCAACAAGCAGAAUACAAUAUACUAUAAAAAAUUGAAAUACAAGAUGGCGGCCGCUACAAAAUGG
rnacentral:misc_RNA from 1 species